GGGGGUGCACUGGCUUCGACGGAGUGAAUCGAAGCUCUGUACGGGCGUUUUCGGUUGGCACAGCGUACCGGUUAUCCACGAUGUGCAAUUCUAAGUGCAACAGCAUUUACAAGUAAGUUCAACCAACUUCGUCAAACUGCAGCUCGAGCUUUAGCUCCUGCUCCAGUAUUUGCUUAGUUUUUUGGCUUCUAGGAUAAACCCUAGUUGAGCCAACGCUCCUAGGUGAUGUCUCGCUUUACCACGCAGCGUUUCAUCAAACUCAGUGGUGUAGAAUUUAAAAUUUGAUCGACUUUAAAUUUGAAUCUCAGAUCACCUUUUCAAGUCUUUUGUCUGCUUUAAAGCUUGAAUCGUAAACAAACAGACUACAAACGUAGAACGUGCAUUGUUUCCACUGCGGACGCGGGAUCGAUACCCGCCACCUCCACCA
rnacentral:tmRNA from 3 species